rnacentral:piRNA from 1 species
UGGGGCUUCUUCAAAAAAUAUUUUCAG